AUUGAACGCUGGCGGCAGGCCUAACACAUGCAAGUCGAGCGGUAGCACAGAGAGCUUGCUCUCGGGUGACGAGCGGCGGACGGGUGAGCAAUGUCGGGGAAACUGCCUGAUGGAGGGGGCUAACUACUGGAAACGGUAGCUAAUACCGCAUAACGUCGCAAGACCAAAGGGGGGGACCUUCGGGCCUCAUGACAUCAGAUGCGCCCAGAUGGGAAUAGCUAGUAGGUGGGGUAACGGCUCACCGAGGCGACGAUCCCUAGCUGGUCUGAGAGGAUGACCAGCCACACUGGAACUGAGACACGGUCCAGACUCCUACGGGAGGCAGCAGUGGGGAAUAUUGCACAAUGGGCGCAAGCCUGAUGCAGCCAUGCCGCGUGUGUGAAGAAGGCCUUCGGGUUGUAAAGCACUUUCAGCGGGGAGGAAGGCGGUGAGGUUAAUAACCUCAUCGAUUGACGUUACCCGCAGAAGAAGCACCGGCUAACUCCGUGCCAGCAGCCGCCGUAAGAC
rnacentral:rRNA from 1 species